UCGGAUAUGGUGUAACGGCUAACAUUGCCGCCUCUCAUCUGGAUAACGUAGUGCGGGUUUCGCGGCAGCUCGGGGUUCGAUUCCCCGUAUCCGAA